CGAGGGGGUUAGUUGUCAAGCAAUAGAUGACUAUGAGACCGGCAAACGGGUGCGGAACACGUACGCAACCUUCCCAAAACUGGUGAAUAGCCCUCCGAAAGGAGGAUUAAUGCACCGUAACAUAUAGAGAUGGCAUCAUUUUUAUAUUAUAGCUCCGGCGGUUUUGGAUGGGCGUGCGCCUGAUUAGGUAGUUGGUGAGGGUAACGGCCCACCAAGCCUUCGAUCAGUAACUGGUGUGAGAGCACGACCAGUCACACGGGCACUGAGACACGGGCCCGACUCCUACGGGAGGCAGCAGUAAGGAAUAUUGGUCAAUGGACGCAGGUCUGAACCAGCCAUGCCGCGUGAAGGAUGACGGCCCUCUGGGUUGUAAACUUCUUUUAUCUGGGACGAAAAAAGGGCUUUCUAGCUCGACUGACGGUACCAGAGGAAUAAGCACCGGCUAACUCCGUGCCAGCAGCCGCGGUAAUACGGAGGGUGCAAGCGUUAUCCGGAUUUACUGGGUUUAAAGGGUGCGUAGGUGGGUCUGUAAGUCAGUGGUGAAAUCUCCGAGCUUAACUCGGAAACUGCCAUUGAUACUAUAGAUCUUGAAUUAUCUGGAGGUAAGCGGAAUAUGUCAUGUAGCGGUGAAAUGCUUAGAUAUGACAUAGAACACCAAUUGCGAAGGCAGCUUACUACGGAUCGAUUGACACUGAGGCACGAAAGCGUGGGGAUCAAACA
rnacentral:rRNA from 1 species